GAUGAACGCUGGCGGCGUGCCUAAUACAUGCAAGUCGAGCGAACAGACGAGGAGCUUGCUCCUCUGACGUUAGCGGCGGACGGGUGAGUAACACGUGGAUAACCUACCUAUAAGACUGGGAUAACUUCGGGAAACCGGAGCUAAUACCGGAUAAUAUAUUGAACCGCAUGGUUCAAUAGUGAAAGACGGUUUUGCUGUCACUUAUAGAUGGAUCCGCGCCGCAUUAGCUAGUUGGUAAGGUAACGGCUUACCAAGGCAACGAUGCGUAGCCGACCUGAGAGGGUGAUCGGCCACACUGGAACUGAGACACGGUCCAGACUCCUACGGGAGGCAGCAGUAGGGAAUCUUCCGCAAUGGGCGAAAGCUUGACGGAGCAACGCCGCGUGAGUGAUGAAGGUCUUCGGAUCGUAAAACUCUGUUAUUAGGGAAGAACAAAUGUGUAAGUAAUUAUGCACGUCUUGACGGUACCUAAUCAGAAAGCCACGGCUAACUACG
rnacentral:rRNA from 1 species